GUACCAUAAUACCAUGAUACAGAGAGACUGUAUCAUGGUAUUAUGGUACUGCCCAUAAUACUAUGAUACAGUCUCUCUGUAUCGUGGUAUUAUGGUAU